rnacentral:rRNA from 1 species
UGACCGCUGGCGGCAGGCCUAACACAUGCAAGUCGAGCGGAUGAAGGGAGCUUGCUCCUGGCUUCAGCGGCGGACGGGUGAGUAAUGCCUAGGAAUCUGCCUGGUAGUGGGGGAUAACGUCCGGAAACGGGCGCUAAUACCGCAUACGUCCUGAGGGAGAAAGUGGGGGAUCUUCGGACCUCACGCUAUCAGAUGAGCCUAGGUCGGAUUAGCUAGUUGGUGGGGUAAAGGCCUACCAAGGCGACGAUCCGUAACUGGUCUGAGAGGAUGAUCAGUCACACUGGAACUGAGACACGGUCCAGACUCCUACGGGAGGCAGCAGUGGGGAAUAUUGGACAAUGGGCGAAAGCCUGAUCCAGCCAUGCCGCGUGUGUGAAGAAGGUCUUCGGAUUGUAAAGCACUUUAAGUUGGGAGGAAGGGCAGUAAGUUAAUACCUUGCUGUUUUGGCGUUACCAACAGAAUAAGCACCGGCUAACUUCGUG